GUGGGGAAUAUUGGACAAUGGGCGAAAGCCUGAUCCAGCCAUGCCGCGUGUGUGAAGAAGGUCUUCGGAUUGUAAAGCACUUUAAGUUGGGAGGAAGGGCAGUAAGUUAAUACCUUGCUGUUUUGACGUUACCGACAGAAUAAGCACCGGCUAACUUCGUGCCAGCAGCCGCGGUAAUACGAAGGGUGCAAGCGUUAAUCGGAAUUACUGGGCGUAAAGCGCGCGUAGGUGGUUCGUUAAGUUGGAUGUGAAAGCCCCGGGCUCAACCUGGGAACUGCAUCCAAAACUGGCGAGCUAGAGUACGGUAGAGGGUGGUGGAAUUUCCUGUGUAGCGGGGAAAUGCGUAGAUAUAGGAAGGAACACCAGUGGCGAAGGCGACCACCUGGACUGAUACUGACACUGAGGUGCGAAAGCGUGGGGAGCAAACAGGAUUAGAUACCCCAGUAGUCC
rnacentral:rRNA from 1 species